AGCAGCCGCGGUAAUUCCAGCUCCAAUAGCGUAUAUUAAAGUUGUUGCAGUUAAAAAGCUCGUAGUUGAAUUUCGGGAUCAAAUUGUUGGUCGUGCUUCGGUACGCACUGGCAUUAUUGGUUUCUACCUUCUGAAGAACCGCGAUGUCAUUAAUUUGGUGUCGUGGGGAAUCAGGACUGUUACUUUGAACAAAUUAGAGUGUUUAAAGCAGGCGCACGCUUGAAUACAUUAGCAUGGAAUAAUGAAAUAGGACGUUUGAUUCUAUUUUGUUGGUUUCUAGGAUCGACGUAAUGAUUAAUAGGGAUAGUUGGGGGCAUUAGUAUUCAAUUGUCAGAGGUGAAAUUCUUGGAUUUAUUGAAGACUAACUACUGCGAAAGCAUUUGCCAAGGAUGUUUUCAUUAAUCAAGAACGAAAGUUAGGGGAUCGAAGACGAUCAGAUACCGUCGUAGUCUUAACCAUAAACUAUGCCGACUAGGGAUCGGAUGAUGUUAAUUUUAUAAUGACUC
rnacentral:rRNA from 1 species